ACUGGGUGCAGUGGCACGUGCCUGUAGUCCUAGCUACUUGCGAAGCUGAGGUGGGAGGAUUGCUUGAGCCCAGGAGUUCUGGGCUGUAGUGUGCCAUGCCGAUCAGGUGUCUACACUAAGUUGGGCAUCAGUAUGGUGACCUCUCAGGAGCAGGGGACCACCAGGUUGCCUAAGGAGGGGUGAACCGGCCCAGGUCAGAAACGGAGCAGGUCAAAACUCCUGUGCUGAUCAGUAGUGGGAUUGCACCUGUGAAUAGCCACUGCACUCCAGCCUGGGGAACGUAGCAAGACCCCGUCUCU
ensembl:misc_RNA Metazoa_SRP Metazoan signal recognition particle RNA